GGGGUCAAAUCAGAGCUGCAGCUGCUGGCCUAUGCCAUAGCCAUGGCGAUAUCAUAUCUGAGCCACAUCUGUGACCUACACUGCAUCUUGCAGCAAGACUGGAUCCUUAACCCACUAAGCAUGGGCAGGGAUGGAACCCACAUUCUCACAGAGAUAAUGUCAAGUCCUUAACCCCCUGAGCCACAAGGGAAACUCCUUUUUUAAAAAAAAUACAGAUUGUGGAGUUCCUAUCGUGGCUCAGUGGUUAACAAAUCCAACUAGGAACCAUGAGGUUGCGGGUUCAAUCCCUGGCCUUGUUGUGGGUUAAGGAUCUGGCAUUGCCAUCGGCUGUGGUAUAAGUCGCAGACACAGCUCAAAUCCCGCGUUGCUAUGGCUCUGGCAUAAGCCAGUGGCUACAGCUCUGAUUAGACCCCUAGCCUGGGAACCUCCAUAUGCCGCAGGAGCGGCCCUAGAAAUGGCAGAAAGACAAAAAACAAACAAACGAACAAAAAAAGCAGAUUCUAAAAUCUCAUUGAAAAUCUAGAUUUUGAUAUUUGUUUUGUAUUAAGUUUUUGUUACAUGCACUUGGUAAAACACAAAAUUCAAAUGAUACAGAGGAUCAUAGAUUUUCUUGAUCCCUCUCUCAGUUUUAUAUUUUAAAAGUAUUUUUCCAUAAAUGUUUAUGUUUAUAUGAACAUAUGAGUGAAAGAGACAAUGAAUUCAUGAUAAACAUUUUUCUAUUCUAGGUACUCUUAAUUUCUUUUUUAGUGAUUAACUUUCAUGUAUUUGUAUUGCUUUACGGCUUUCUGCUUUCUUUUAUUUCACUUUUGUUGUCAUUGCUUUAGUAUUUUUAAAUUAAACUCUUACCUUUUCUUCUCUCCUACUGAAAUUUUUUAUUACAUAAGUUUCAAGUGUUAUCCCUUUGAUGCUUGACAGGCAUUGUGGUCCUCACAAUGGUAGGGGGAGGAGGGCUUCACAGUGCCAGCAGCAGGAGGGUCCCACACGUCCCUGCGAAAACCAUGUACUAUGCUACAAUCUAUCGGUCCUUCAAAUGGCCAUCCAAGAGGUUCUCAUAUUUUUCUGAAAACCCACAGCUAACAACUAUUCCUGGAGAAAUAAUGAUUCUCUACUUGACAAAGACUGGACAUAUUUAGCUAGAUUAAUAUUAUUUGAACCUUCUAACUAUCGAAAGAGCCGACAUGGAGAACAGAAUCUAGAAUUAUCCUGGUAUCUUUUCCAGUUCUUUUCCCUGGUGUAUUGAGUUCGAGGGAUUUGGGGGCUGAUCAAAGAAACAGAUAUGGCCAUGAGGUGGCAGUAGCACACAGUGAGUUUUAUUUGGGCGGUGCUUUGGCAGGUUUGCACUUGGGGAAAAAGUCCCUCACAGCAGGAGACCUUCCAGAGCCAAUGGCUGGGAGACUAAUAUCUAGAAGAGGAGGAGGGCUGGGGGAAGUCCUCGAAAGAAGAGGAUCAGAGACAGCGGGGUUACCUGUCUAGGUGAUAUUGCUGAGCAGCAUGAUGGAGAGGCUGUGGGUCAGGGAGCUCUGAAGGGCAGCAGCAGCUUGGAGUCUUUCUUUUAUAGCCACUGCAUUUAUAUGAUAUAUGGCUAGUAGAUUUUGGGUGCAGUUUUCUUGGUAUGCAAAGCAGGAAGGCUCUAAAUAGCUACAACCUGCUUAUUUGGCCUACAACUGGAAUGACUAGAUAUGUAAAAACUGGACAUCUUUUGGUGGGUUUGGAGCUAUGGUCCCAGCCUGCUGUGAAGAAGUAGACAACAUAGGGCCAAUGUACAGAAGCCAUUUUUUGGUUUAUUAAUACAACAACUAGGUCUCACUAAUUUUCUUUGUGUAUGUGUGCUUUGUUUUAUUAUAACAUACUUCAAAUACACAUAAAUAUACACACCAAUAUAAUGUAUAACAUGUACAUACCAUCUAUAUUUGUUAACCUCAUCAUUUUGUCAUAAUUGCUCCAGGUUUUUUUUAGAGAAAUACAUCAUUAGAGUUGAAUUUCUCUUUGUGCCCUUCCCUUAAAACUAUUCCCCUUGUUGCCCCCUUUAGAGAUGUCUCCUAAGAUGUUUGGAUUCAUAUGCUACAUAUAUAUCAUUUAAAAUUAUGUUUGGUGAUAAUUUAAAACUUAAUAUAAAUGACAACAUAGCAUAAUGUGGUUUUCUGCCCUUUCCUUACAAUUUUGAAACUUAUCCAUCUAUAGAUUAAAUUUACUUGUUGUCGCUGUUAAAUAGUAUUUCAUUGGGUGAAUAUGACAUGAUUUUUGAAUAGUUUCAUAUUGAUGGACAUUUAAGUUGUUUUCCAGCAUCUUAAUUUUGCAAAAUGAUGCUGAAUAGAGCAUUUCUACACAUAUCUUCUUAUGUAAGUGCUGCUACUUGACUAAUCCAUUUCAGUACUCUAGAAAUAAAUUGGUAAAUAAUUAAUUCUCAAACACCCAUGUGCACAGGUCUGGGACUAUAAUGAAACUAGAUGUGAUUUCUCUUCUUAAUAAGUUUAUAAUCUUGGUUUAAUCUUGUAUGUAUUUCUAAAUAAGAAUGAUUCUAAUAUUUGAUAGUUUAAUUUUACCUCUAAUUUUGCUAGAUUUAAAUGUAUUUCUAAGAUAGAGGUAUUAUCAAUGUCAAUGCUUGAUUAUUUCUCUCAAUAUUUAGUUUUGGUAGUCCUCCAAGUUGCACAGGCAGAUGUGAAUGACUGAGUUGUAGUUUUGUCUUAAGGACAACAUUGUGUUAAAGAGCCUUUCUGAAUUUCUAACUGUCACUUGCUUGGUUAAUGAUUUAUUAAAUGCAUCAUGACAAUUAGAUAAAUGAGAUUUAUAAGAAAUAUUUUCCACUACAGCUCAAGUAAUUUAAAUCACUCUCCUAAGAGCUGUAUUUUGGGCAAAGUCAUAGUGGCAGGCACGUGACAUAGUAAGGAUAAUGAUCAGUAUAAGCUGAUAACUUCUAAUGGAAAAUAUAUACAGUUUUUGAACUGCAUUCUAAAUCACUUGUUUUUCAAGCAUUUAUUAUAUGAAAGAAACACAUAGAAAGUGGUUAGCUAAAACAGGUAGUUUGAAAAUAUUUUAGCAUUUUUAUCUAAACAAAUGUCAAUUUUUUUUUUGAAAAUGAAAAAUGCUAAGUAUAAUAAAACAGUGAUUAUGUUUUUCAUAGUUCAUUUGCCUUCUUUGCCCUGCAGACCUUGUGUGGAGGAAAAUGAGAUCCCGAGUGAAGUCUACAAUGUCAUUGACUCUGAAGAAGGACUCAGAGACCCAUUGGUGUUUAAUGACCCUUACUGGCCUAUGCAAUGGGAACUGGUAAGAUCUUUGGAAAUAGAUGGUUCUUUGGCAAUGUUAAGAAAUAUUAUUUUCGUCAUGUUUUAAUGCAGUAGACAGACACUUUUAUGCACUGCCUGCUUUUAUCUAUUGAUUUUGCAGAAAGAGACUUAGCAAACUUUUGAUGAAAUAUUACUGCCAGCUUAUUAGUGAGCACUAAUCUCUUUAAUUUGAUUACAUCCUUAGGGUUUGAUUUAGCCUAUAAAAGAUAUCAGUGAAAAACCUAAGACAUUUAAAUUUGGUAUAUGUAAACAGGCUCAUUACAUAGAAAUGUGGUUGCCAUUCAGGCUUGAAGUUCCUCUUUUUGCAUAACCAGAAUAUAUUCUAUAUUACUUCAAUAAUGAGGGAGAGAACUCUUUAUAGAAUAAGUGAAUGUUAGAACAUUGCACAACAAACUUUUUUCAUAAUGCUUAGAGUGUUGGACAUUUUAUGAAUACAUUGUUUUGUCAUUUAUACAUGACCGUGACAAUGGAAAAAGGUCUGAUAAAAGCACACAUCGUUUUUGAGCAUUAAUACAUUUUAAAAAGUUGAAGUUGGUAGCACUAAAUAUUUUAAAAGGAAGUAUUUGGAAUGUGAAGGUGACAUAGUGAUAAUAUAAAAGAGAAGUUGAAGACCUUGUUGUAUCCAUACUUAGUUCCUCAUAGGUUUGUAAACUAUAUUGUGUUGUAGAUGGUCUUGUGUUAUAAAAUGAGGAAAAGCUUAGGUGCAUGUCAUCAUUUUCAUAGAAAUAACGAGGUUAAAGGGGGAAAACUUACAGUAGCUUUUUUGUUUUUUUACGCUGAUUAUUGGCAGUUACCAAGCUUACUAUCUGAAAAGAGUAGAAAACCCAUGUUGAAAAAUGUCCAGGUCACUUUUCUGUAGUUUCAGUUCAUCUUUAAAAAGUGAAACAAGGAGUUCCUGUCGUGGCUCAGUGGUUUACGAAUCCAGCUAGGAAUCAUGAGUUUGCGGGUUCGAUCCCUGGCCUUGCUCAGUGGGUUAAAGGAUCCGGCAUUGCAGUGAGCUGUGGUGUAGGUCACAGAUGCAGCUCGGAUCUGGGGUUGCCGUGGCUCUGAGGUAGGCCGGCAGCAACAGCCCUGAUUCGAUCCCUAGCCUGGAAACCUCCUUGUGCCACGGGUGUGGCCCCAGAAAAGAGAAAAAGACCAAAAAAAAAAAAAAAAAAAAAAAAAAAAAACAACAAAAAAAAAAGGGAAACAAUUUCAAAAGUUCUAAGAGAUGUAUAUAAUGUUUGAUAUUUCAAACACACAUGAACACAAACUCAAGUACAAAAAAAAUUUAAGAAUUGCUUCAAUUACCAGAGAUGAGAUAAUCAUUAACCAGUGCGUGGACUAGAGCUAAUUAGGAUAAUGAAAGUCAAAAUGAGUAAAAUUAAGGAAAAAAAGGAGUGAGGAAGGUAGCUAAAGAAGCAAGGUGUGAAAUAAAGGGGAAAUUUUUUCGUCUUUCUUUUGUUUGUUGUUUUAUUUGUCCUGAAGAAGCUUCAAAAAGUAAGAUGAAUAUUGAAUAUUACAUUUGUGACACUCUGUAAUUAGUCACCAAUAGGAAGUACUUUAUUGUAUUGGUUAUUAAAUGUCAAGCUCCUCUACAUUGAGGUCAAGAAUUUCAGGGACACAACAGGGAAAAGAGAAGAAAAGUAAGUGAUAUAGAAAGAAGAGUUGAGGAGCAGUCAUUAAAGUGACAGGGAUUAGAAACAGAGACAAAUCUUAGAGACUUUUAAACAUUAAGUCCUCUUAAAAUCAGACAAGAUUGUGAAAGGAAAGGACAGAGGCAGAAAUAGUAGGAUAACUCUGUACCAUUUUCUAGGACACGAGUUAAUGGACUUUUUAUGCAGAUGAUCAGAUAGUAAAUAUUUCAGGUUUUGUGUGCUACGUAAAUCUCUGUGGCAUAUUUUUGUCGUUGCUGUUCCCGUCCUUUAAAAAUGGAAAAACCUUUCUUAGCUUAGAGUCAUAUGAAAACAGGUUGUAGGUUGGAUUUCACUUGCAAGCCAUAGUUUACUGACAGUUGCAGACAGUAAGGAGAAUAGAGGAGUCAAAGAGGAAGUAGCCCUUCAGAUUUAGCUAUCUCUUAAGCAUCUGGGUGUUGUGCUGUGUGUACUAGAAACACACAACAUUAGCACAACUCAGCAGUGAAAAGUCAAGCCAAAUUAUAUUAAGGUCAGUAGCCUUCUAGAUUAUUACUACAUUCUGGUAGCACCAUUCUACAGGCAUGUCUGCCAGUAUGGAAAUU
rnacentral:lncRNA from 1 species